rnacentral:lncRNA from 1 species
GGAAUUCAAAAACGAUUAGAUAAUAGACCUAACAAUUUUUUAUAAAACCUUGAAAUUAUAUUAGUAGAAGAAUAUAACUUGGUUUGUUUUCAAGUGGAAACCUUGUUGAGGCAGAAAGCACGAGUAGACUAGCUUAAAUUGGGGGACAACACCAAAUUUUUUUCAUAAUAUUCUUCGAGGCAGGAGAUACAGGAAAAACAUUUUAAUGUUAAAGAAAGAUGAGGACACUUGGUGUGAGGA